UACAGAGGGGGCAAGCGUUAUUCGGAAUUAUUGGGCGUAAAGGGCCAGUAGGCGGCCAACUAAGUCCGACGUGAAAUCCCCAGGCUUAACCUGGGAACUGCGUCGGAUACUGGAUGGCUUGAAUUCGGGAGAGGGAUGCAGAAUUCCAGGUGUAGCGGUGAAAUGCGUAGAUAUCUGGAGGAAUACCGGUGGCGAAGGCGGCAUCCUGGACCGACAUUGACGCUGAGGAGCGAAAGCUAGGGGAGCAAACGGG
rnacentral:rRNA from 1 species